AUUGAACGCUGGCGGCAGGCCUAACACAUGCAAGUCGAGCGGAGCGGCGGACGGGUGAGUAAUGCCUAGGAAUCUGCCUGUUCGUGGGGGAUGACGUCCGGAAACGGGAGCUAAUACCGCAUACUCUCGGAUGAGGCUAGGUCGGAUUAGCUUGUUGGUGUGGUAAAGGCCUACCAAGGCGAAGAUCCGUAACUGGUCUGAGAGGAUGAUCAGCCACACUGGAACUGAGACACGGUCCAGACUCCUACGGGAGGCAGCAGUGGGGAAUAUUGGACAAUGGGCGAAAGCCUGAUGCAGCCAUGCCGCGUGUGUGAAGAAGGUCUUCGGAUUGUAAAGCACUUUAAGUUGGGAGGCGUUACCAACAGAAGAAGCACCGGCUAACUCCGUGCCAGCCGCCGCGGUAAUUC
rnacentral:rRNA from 1 species